rnacentral:rRNA from 1 species
ACAUACGACCAUAGUCGUUAGCAUUCUUCAGGAUCCUGUCCGAUCUCCCACGAGAAUCUCACAAGCGCUGGAUCAGUGGUUGGGUCCGCGAAUACCCGGUGUUGUAUGUC